GGGCGAGGAGUGGGGAACAUAAGGAUGUCGAAUAAUUGAUUUAUAUGGUAAAGGGCUGGCUCUUAAUCAAUGGACCCAAGGUUCGAAUCCUUGAGCGCCCA
rnacentral:tRNA from 1 species